GGCACAUGUAUAGACCCGGCGGUCUUAUCCUGAGUUUGUUGCCGAAUUUGAUCGAUUGACCCCAGAAAAUAUUGUGUGGGAGCCAUAUAGUCAUUCGGCUAUAGCCGCACGUGCACCGCUUGGGAUAUCUUCGGUGUGCACACAGGACCAGGGCCUAUGGAUGACUACUGCAACUUUGGUGUACGACGUUGCAGUUAAGGCCCACUGCCCGGAUAGAGUCAUGAGGCAGUUCGGUCGACGCCAGUCUUUCCCUGUGACUUCAGCUUUGGAUCGUGUUUAGUGCCACGAUCAUAGGUAACAAAAAUGUAUGAGCAUCCAUGUACUAAUAACGUGAAACUAAUUUCUAUUUAACGUGCAGUUUAUCAAGGGCUGGACAUCCUUUCUCGACAAUGUGGGUCACUAAAUUACAACCAUGGGUGGCUGCGUGGGAUGAUGCAGGCGAGCAGUUGGCUGAGGAUACCGGUCCACACACUGAGCCUUCGUUUCGGGCGUACCUGACCUGGUACGAACCGAAGACUCGUUGCCGUUUGACGUAUGUUGACAUGCAUCCACAGCCACAUGUUGCGACUUCGCAGGAUCACUAUGCACGACACAGGAAUGAGGCAUUAGCUGGGGCGGUGAGUAAAUGUUGACGAUAUUUUCGAUCUUUUAAGAUUUGUAUACUAAGUUUUUUUGGUUGCAGUUCGAGACCUGUAGGUUGCUUGAAUUAGAUUGCUCACUGAAUGUAAUGAGGAUUCAUGGCGGGUCUACGAUGAGCAUGCCGGCUCGAGGCCUGGACCACUCAACGUGAUAGAGCCCGAGGCAUCCUUCAGGCCUUUGGUACGCGGACGGAGUACGAGGAUUCCUACGGAUCGUCGCAAGAGUCGACGUCGGUUCCUUGUGGUCCCGCAUGACAGCAGCCUCCCUUAUUCCACCGACAGUACGAAGGGUACGGGUACCCCGGUUCUCAGCCCUAUGGAGGGCCAGGUGCCUCGCAAGGGGCUCCAUUUCAAGGAACCCAGUUUAGCUCUAUGCCACAUGCUGGAGGGACUUUAGGAUCACAACAGUUCACCGGAGCGGGGCCGUCUUCGUAUCACCCUAUGCCGCCACUAGGAG